CUCCUCCCUGUGCAUCUCUUGUCUGAGCUGAGGCAUCCUCCCACAUGGAGAAAGGAGCUGUGCAGGAUGAUGCAACAUCACUKGUCCAUCCGUUCUUCUCCAUGCCUUGUCUGUCCUUGCUAAGAGAGAAAAAAGUCAUGACUUAGGUACAUCAUGGGGUCAUUUUUUCGUGGUGACUUUAAAAAAGGAAGGCUUUCCUGCCUUUCCUUUAGCCUUUCAGUGAUCAUUUGAGAUCCUACCUGUGUUUGUGACCAUUCYUGAACUAUGAGCUGGAAUUUUUAAAGCACUGUCUGCAGCAACCCCAAGCAAAAUGACACAUGACUGAGAGCUGAAGGAAGCACYGUGUGCUCACAGAGUAGAGAACUGCUUGUCCAGCAGCUGGCAUCUCCUGUCAAGGACCAAGGUGCAGUUGAUACCUUCCUGCGUGGUGAUGGAGAACAGGGCAGAUGGAGUCUGCUGUGAGGCACCAAAAGCUGGGGAUGUCCAUGACCUUCAGAGCCCAGGCCAACAUCAGCUAAAGCCCYGGUGUCCACUUUGUCCCAGCUCAGCAAACAAGAGCCGCAGGGAUUUGCGCUGGGGGGACCCCAGGCCACGAGAUUGGCUUUGCAGGGGCUGCUGGGAGGUCUCUUGGCCUGCCAAGCCUCUUUCCCUGUUAUCUGGUCUUAGGAGGAGGAUGUGAUUAGUGUUUGCUGCCAUGGGAUGUCAGCUGAGGGAUGAGAACCRAGUGCCAAGAGGAGGAAAGAGCUGCCACAGAUGGAUGAAGACUGUCCCUUCCACACUCRAGGCACAGUGAGCCCAAACUGGAUCCCUGUUCUCCAUGGGGAUCAAUCUGCAGGGAUGAUGAGAGAAACAGAGUAAGUGCCCAGUGCUCUCCAGAGCUCAACUGCAAAACCCCAGGAUUCACCAAAGCCCUUCAAGCCAGCCACCUCCCAGCAAAGUCUCUGUCCCUUUCUCUUGACUCAGGGCUGGAAAUAAUGACAGGAAUCCCAACAAACUUGCCGUGGGCAAGAGCAUUUCUUGGUGAGGCACUGCCAAACGCCCCGCGCUGUCCGUGCACAAAGGGGUCGGGUCAUCCCUCGUGCAGCCCCCCAGCUGCAGCAGGGCUUGGCACAGGRAUUUUCUGAAGAUGGGAGGGUUUGGUCCUACAGGAGCAGCUGCGUGGGUUUUGCAAUGCAGAUACUCAGUCCACAAGACGGCCACAGACUCCAAACUAUAGAUCCCUAUUCCCGGAGUCUGAACUCCUGAGGUUGACUUUACAACUUCAAUAAUAAGGGAAUAUCAUGUGGAUUGGUGGCAGAAGCAAGUUAAAUGAUGAGGGGAGAGGAAUACAUCUCCAGAGCCACGCUACUGCUCCAGACAAGGCUGCAGCAGGCGACGGCGCCCAGCUCUCCUGGCACAGACGGCUACAAUGAAUGACCCAAGAGGCCYUGAAAGAACAUCUUGGAUUAUGUUGCUGCAAAUGAGAGGUUUCAGUCAUGGUAUCAGUUGAGCUGCAGGCUAGAAAGUGGUUGUGUUGGAGCUUUCCCAUAGUGUGCCUGGCCUGCCUGCUGGGAGAGAGGGGUGCUGAGCAAGGCAGCAAACUCAGGUAAAAAAUAACACCAUCCCAACGUCAGCAGCAGAGCUGAGAGGAACCAGAAGUCCUGAGCUGUUUCGAAGUUGUGUUAAAUAAUAAAGCAGAGAAAUGAAUAAAUUAGCUGAGCAUCUAUUUAGGUCAGCCCUCUCCGUUUCUCCCAGCCGCCUCCGUGUGCCUCCUCCCCGCAGCGAUCAGCUGCUCGGUGCACGCUGUGCCUGCGGAUCCGCUCCCUCCUUGGGAACAGCCGGGCUCUCGGGAAGUGCGGGUUGAGCAGGUGUCACGUCGCCUGCACACGUUCACCCCAGCCUUCGGAAGCGGCAGGCGAGCUUCCUUUUCCGUUACUGGGGCAAAAAGUGUUCUGGAAAAUCCCAUUAAAGCACUAAGCGUGGGCUGAGCACACAUGGCUGCUCCCUUCCUGGCGCUAUUCCCCGCACGCAGCCCCGCACGGAUCCUGCACCACGGGAUGCAGCUGCCCAGGAGCUGCAUCUUCCUGCUCUGCUGCUGCCAGCCUGGUCAUCACCCAGAUAUUUCCCAUUCCCAGCUUCCAACCACGGCAGCACCUUUACCUUUGUGGACCAUCAUUCCCCACCUUGCACGUGCCCCAGGCUGGGUUAUGUGAUUGCAGUUGUCAUCUGUUGGUUUGGGGACAUCCMGCCAGAUGGACCAGGCUGAUUGACACAGAUGGGGAAUCAGCUUUUAAAACCCCUAAGCUCCCCUCAAAUCAUUCAAAUGCUUCCAGAAAAAUGGAACRACUGUGCAGUCUUUAUUUACAUGCUUCCCAAGCCUGAAAAGCCCUCUUUGAUGUCCAAAAUAUCUCGUGGGUUUCAGCUAUAAGGAAGCUGGAUAAACACUCACCAAGAUGGAAUCUGCAUCAAGGGCUGCUCCAUUUCAGCCCARCUCCUGCUGGUCCUCCCAAACCCCACAGGUAGCUGGAGAAGGUCUCCAGUGAUGAACCCAGCCAGAAGCAGCAUCCAGGGUGUAGGCAAUAGAAAAUGAGAUGUUACUAAGUUUGGCCAGGCUUAGCUGGCUCCUYGCAGGUCCCAGCCUGUGAGUCACCAGUACGUGGGCCACCAGCACGGCCUCCCCUCUGGAGGAAGGAGCGGAGGUGGAAAAAUAACAAGAGGAAACCAGUUGUUAGUAGUGCCAGUUCUGGGGAGAGUGGGAGGAGGUGGCAGGCCUGGAGAGAAAGGUCAAGGCUGCACUGCAGGCUGCUGCCUGAUUUUCCCUCCUGCCUUCAUGGCAGGAAGGUGCUUACGGGAACACACUUGUGCAAUCCGUGCGAAGGUCUGGGCUGAUCUGAGGGUCUGGGCUGAUCUGAGGGGGUGAUGGAGGUUUUGUUUCUGGUCCCUGCUCAUUCGUCUCUUCCGCUUCUCUGAUUUCUACUGAGCUGAACUUGAGUUCACUGUUAAAAGCAAAUUUUGGGCCCUUGCAAACAUUGUAAAAGAAGAUGUUCUUUGCAGAUGUACUGGGAACAGACAYGUCCAUCUUCCCACUGUGGAUGAACACCAGUGCAGAGCAUUUGUUCCCCAGCUCCUGCCCCAUUAUGGCACUSAUGCCCAUCUGCAGCUGAGCCAGAGACUUUCACUUGUGCUCUUUGUGCUGAUCCUUGGUGACAGUGGCAGUGGGAGAUUCAGGCACAGACCAUGAGCCAGUGACCCUGUUCCUUGUUCAGUCAAUGCAAUAAAAAUCUUGAUGAGAAAAAUAAAAGGUUGCAGGUCUCCAGCCUCUCCUGAUACCUCUGCUCUCCUAACUGCUGCUAACUGGAGUGCACCAGGAGARGACACAAGCCUCAGCUACUGUUCCCAUGUCCCUGCCACCAGUCCAGGAGCACUUGCAGCCCUGAUUGCAGCUCCCCUUCCCAUACAGAUACCUACAGCUGUGGAUCAGCACUUCUGCUCCCCAUUGCCUUGCAAGAAUUCCUUUUCCCUUGAACCCUCCCAUCUGACAAUUGCCAUCAGUUGCUACUGGUUUUUGUCACCUCCCAUCCCAAAUGCACAGAGCCAGCUGUCUCCCUGCUGACAGACUGGUACUUUCCAUAAAUGAAAUUAUUUCUUUUUCAAGGAAAUUAUAACCGCUGUCAGGGAAAAAAAAAAAGGCACAGCCAGGUAGGAUGCCAGGUCAAGAGGGAAACUGCUGGGUGAAACUUGCCUCACUCCCUGGUGAUGCCCCUUCUCCCGGACUGAAACUAAUUUUCCCACUUUGAGCCAGAGCGGGAUCUCUUAUGCUCAGGCUCCCUCUAGUGCCUCCUUGCCCCGUUGUUCCUGGUUUCUCUGGAGGCGCACUGGCCAUUUGUCCCCGGGGACUGUCCGUCACCCUCACUACCCUCGGGUUUAUAGGACAGCCAAGCCCUAUUUGCUCACAGGCUGGGAACAGCCCUAAACCUGCCCUAAASCCACYGGCACCGCCAG